GCCAGCGGUUAAGCCGGGAACUUUAAGGAUACUGCCAGUGACAAACUGGAGGAAGCGGGGACGACGUCAAGUCAUCAUGGCCCUUACGACCAGGGCUACACACGUGCUACAAUGGUCGGUACAAAGGGUUGCUACCUAGCGAUAGGAUGCUAAUCUCAAAAAGCCGAUCGUAGUCCGGAUUGGAGUCUGCAACUCGACUCCAUGAAGUCGGAAUCGCUAGUAAUCGCGGAUCAGAAUGCCGCGGUGAAUACGUUCCCGGGCCUU
rnacentral:rRNA from 1 species